AGGACCUGAAUUCUGCAGAGGUUAAAAAGAAAUCAGGGACAGCUGGGCCACUCAAACAGAAGUUGCAAAGGUUUAUUCAGUUGUAGGAGUACUUCAGUGAUAAUACCAUGAAAACGAUUAAGACAACAGGAAUUGGAUGUUUCAAGAUACAGCAUAUGAAUGGAAACAUCCUGACCCUUUUCAGUGUAUCUGGUGAGGUUUCUGUUAUUUUUCAACUCUGUAGAUUUCUCUGAUAAAUGCAUCAUGGAUUCAGCCCAUAACUGGUGAUCGGACGUAUCGGGGAAAUGAAAGUAAUUUUUUAGUUGCUCUUUGCUAGCACAUUAUAUUCUGCAUCUGUGUUAGAUGGAAGUAUGCUGCUCUGGUGCCAGUAAACGCUGUGUGUUUAUACUUGAGAUGUUUCCUGUGAGCUUCUGGAAGCUGUUGGACUAGAUCCUCAGAAAACAUGAGCAAUUACAGUUACAUUGGAUUUGGUCAAUAAGAAGACUUUUUACCUGCAUUUAUGGCUAUAAAGGGUUAACAGUUGCAUUUAUUUUGAUUUAAACAGAGCUUUGCCAAAAUAUUUACUUCAAGGACUGUCUUUGUAAGCUGCAAGGGAAACAAGCCUAUGUUAAUCUCUUCCUCUUUGGGAAGAGACUUACUUCUUUACAGUGCAGCAAAGACCGUAUCUGUGAAGAAGUAAUUUCACAAAUAAUCCAAAAGAGAUAUCCAUGGCAUGUCACUUCUUUUCCAGAGAAACAAUAUGUAGGUGUUUCAAUGUUGUCUAAGAUUAAGAAAGGUCAAUGUCUUUUUUGGAAACUAUUGAAUAAAAAAUCGCACUGAGUCCUGAAUAGCCCUGACAUCCUUCAGCUGUAAUGAUUGCAACUUUCGUAGCUCUUGGAAAUAGAAUUAAGGAGAGUUUCUUUACUUUCCCCCUCACUUGCACAGGCACGCAGAGGUGGGACAGAGGUUUGUCAAUUGGUUCCUUUGUUGCUGGCAGACAAAAAGGUAAGUUAGUGUUGCAACCUUCCUUUCCCUUUCUUUUUUAAAAAGUUUGCUUGAAAGACUGAGACUAAGAUCAAGAGCUUUGCAGAUGUAUCAAGAAUUAAUGACCUUUGCGUAAGUCACACAUCCCGUGCCAAACAAUCUAUCCCAGCUGAGGUGAUGAGUACAGAGACAAAUUCUGACAGGGAGUAUGUCAUGGGAGUAGCAACUGUACAGGAACAAUUAUUGGGAAUGACUUCUUAGAGGGAAAACAAAAGAAGAUGAGAGAUUCAGAGAAAGAUGUGACCAAGAUGUCCAUAGAAAUGAAAGUUGACUGAUCUGACAAGUCUUGGAUUUCCAAGUCUGUAGAUCCGAAUGGGUCUGAUUUUUUUAAUUUUAUUUCUUUUUUUUUUACCUUACAGCCUUUUUGGCUUUCCCUUGUGUUAGUAUGAGACAGAGGUAUUCUCUUACACAGUGAUCCCCUUAAGCUUUUCCUACUUAUCUGUCUUUCAAUCAUAUUGAAGAAUCCAGGCCUUUUGAUAUGAUCCCCUACCGCAGAUGAGGAUUAGCUGGAAUAAGGGGUAUUACCAACUUCAUGCUAGGCAAGAUUGAAGUAUAGCUAAAGGAAAAUAUGCAUGGAGCUCUUUGGUAUGGCUUUUUGUCUCUGUGCUGUAGACCUUUCAAGGAAAGAAUAAGAAAUGCUUUCUUUUGGGGAAGCCAUUUUGAGCUACUACUCAGUCAGCGUCAAAUUCAGUUUGUCCUCAUUAAGAACAAGGGUAGUUGCAGCCUAUAGACAUGCUGAAAGAAUACCUGGGCCACGACUGAUGGAGUCAUCACAAGGGCGAAAGGUAUUAAGCCUUGAUUUAGUGUGCAAAACUGUUUUAAGUUGCAUUUAAACUUUCUUUCUGUGCCAGAAAAAAAUAAAAUGUCUUAUAUAUUUGUCCAUGCAGAAGAGUUGGGCCAAUUUGCAGUCCUGUGACUGGAUCCUUACUAUGGAAACUUCUGCAUCAGGCCUUAAAUCAAAACUAUGUGGGUAACACCUGUCUGCGCCCUUGAAUAAGGACAGUGAUUGCUGCAGUAUAAUAGGGUCUUUGCUAAUGAAAUUAAAACAUCUAGGAAAUAAAACAAGAUGGGAGUUAUAUAAUUGUAAGGCAGCCCCUUCAAAUAUGAAAUGCUGGGUCAUCAUCAGGGAUAGUACCAAGAAAAAGACAGAGGACAUUGCUGACAUUGCUUUGCUACUAUAUGAAAAUUUGGCUUUGCUUGCAUCUUAAAUAUUGUGUGUGGCAAUUGUCUCCCCAGCUUUAAAAGUACAGACUGCAGUUAAAGGACGUACAGAGAAAGGAAACUGAAACAGUUAAGAGGAUGGGGCUGUAGCACAGCAAGAAGACUGAAAUGUCUGGAACGUUCAAUAAUUUGUUUUUACAAAGCUAUGGAGAAGACAGAUUAGCCAAGUGGAUUCUGCGAAACCCAACAAAAGCUCUUGAAGAGGGGACAGAAUACUUGGCUAGAUGAGCUGAACCCUAGUAGGGUGUUUCUUAUGUUUUUGUGGUUUUUCAGGCUGCCACAUAGUGUCUGGUGUAACCAAAGGCUAAAGAUUUAGGUGAAUAAUUUUUCCAGCAGAAUUUAAAGAAUUUUUUUUUCUUUUUCUUUUUUUGGGGGGUUGGCUAAUUCAACUGUAAAACACACUGUAAAACAUCAGUCUGUAAGAAAAUGUUUUCUUCUUUCUUUUGACUGUAAAUCAGGCGUUUUGUCCUCAUGGAACAGAAAGUUGUUCAUGUGGUGGGGUUUUUUUGCUUAUUUGGUUGUUUUUUUUAAUAAGACUUCAAUGAGUGCUUGGAAUUCAGUACAAUUGCACGUGAAGCAGGGUGAGGAGGUACAAUUAUAUUUUACUUUUGGAAAACAGCCUGGGACUUCUUGUGAUUUCAAUUAACAUUGUAAACAAUCUAUAAAAGAAUUCUG